rnacentral:sRNA from 1 species
GAUGAUGUCAUUGUUGAUUUUAAAUUAUAAAAUGGAAUGCUUCCAAAGGAGGUUACAGUUCCUGCUGCAAUAUAUCAAUCUUAGAACAUGAACAACUUGUAGUUGUUAAGUGCAUGUUCAAAGCUAAUUGUGUGGCAUUUGGUUGCUGCUUUUCAGGAAAACUUUUAAAAGCAGAGUAUAUUCUGAGCAGUCUAAUAAGCAACAAUGGAGCAACGGGUACCUGGCUGUACAGAAAUGAAAGUGACAAGGUCCUGGUGCAGUCGGUCUGUAUACAGAUCAGAGGGCAGAUUCUGCAAAAGCUGGGUACAAUCAUCUAAAACUUGCAUUUCUCAAGGCUCAUUUACAAAGCCUGGCUGCAUGGUUUCACUGUGGAAUUUUCUUCUUUUAUCAGGCUAAAAUUGUUAAUUUCCACUUGCCUUAGUUUCCUCAUCGAAAAGAGAAUGGCAUUUAAGAUCCUAGGAGUGUCACAAAUAUUAAUAAAAUGUGUUUUUUUCUAGUGAGUUUUGUUAGAGAGG